GACGAACGCUGGCGGCGUGCUUAACACAUGCAAGUCGAACGGUAAGGCCCUUCGGGGUACACGAGUGGCGAACGGGUGAGUAACACGUGGGUGAUCUGCCCUGCACUUCGGGAUAAGCCUGGGAAACUGGGUCUAAUACCGGAUAGGACCCUGGGAUGCAUGUCCUGGGGUGGAAAGCUUUUGCGGUGUGGGAUGGGCCCGCGGCCUAUCAGCUUGUUGGUGGGGUGAUGGCCUACCAAGGCGACGACGGGUAGCCGGCCUGAGAGGGUGACCGGCCACACUGGGACUGGGAUAAGGCCCAGACUCCUACGGGAGGCAGCAGUGGGGAAUAUUGCACAAUGGGCGCAAGCCUGAUGCAGCGACGCCGCGUGAGGGAUGACGGCCUUCGGGUUGUAAGCCUCUUUCAGCACCGACGAAGCGCAAGUGACGGUAGGUGCAGAAGAAGGACCGGCCAACUACGUGCCAGCAGCCGCCGUAA
rnacentral:rRNA from 1 species